rnacentral:lncRNA from 1 species
GCAAUAUUGUGUGAUAUUCAGCCUAUUUAGGCGCGUGAGUAUAAUUUAAUUGAAUAAAACAAUUCUAAAAUAUAAAAAGAAAUUGGAAAUCCACCCCCACACACUCUCCAUUUCUCCAAAUCCCCAUCACUUCAGCACUGCCUUCUCCACCGUUCCCUCAAUGUUAAUUUCUUCAAAAUCCACCUUAGACGUCACCAUUUUCUUUGUAAUCAAUUAAUAUCAAGAGCUCACUUUUUCUACAAGAUUCAGGUAGUUCGACAACUUAGAUGGCCGGGUUUGAGACGAUGGCGAUUGUGAAUUUGCAAGGGCUGGCCAGAUCAAUUCGGCAAGCUUGCUAGCGAAUUAUUCAAGUGACUUUAUGCCACAAAUGACCUAGGCAAGGAAGGCUUCAAAUCUGCUCAACUCCAUAUUUAGUCUGACAAGCUCGCAGAUGGAUGAAAUCCAAUUUACAGGGGUAAGAAAUCCCUAUUUGAAGGGAAUAUGAUACAAAUUUUUAAUGUUUUGCUAAACAAAAAGGAACAAGAGAAGCUUAUUACGAUAAACAAAAAUUCCGAUGAGAUAGGCAGCAGGCAUAGUGAUACGAGUGAUUAUGAAACUGAAGGUAAACUGUCAAAAGGAAGAGAGUGAAAAUAAGUUAAAAUUUUGACUUUGCUUAUGUAUUGAUUUGAUACUUUAGAGCGGAGAAGAAUGGUAUAUUUAGAAGAUUAAUGGUAUUAGUGGUUGCCCCCAUGAGGUGGUGCGAGAAGAAGGGAGAGGUAGGUUAACGGAUGUCAGGUCUUUUUCUCCCUUUUUUUUUAAUUAUGUGACUUUUUAUUUAUUUAUUUAGUAUUUAAUAAUAGGAUCCACAAAUAACACGCAUAUCAAGUAGUAAAUAGUUUAGUAUAUGACGUGUUGUGCAUAUCAGUGCAAUUAAUAUACACGCACUAUUAAAUGUAUUUAUUUGUACUCAGUCGGUGAAGUUCGAGCGUUCAAACGGUAAUAAUGAAAAUUGUAUAUCGGGUUUAAAA